UAAAAAUAUUCUUGGAUAGCUGAGGCAGCCAAAUGGGUUUUCUGGGCAGCAUUUACUGGAAUUCUUUUGCAGCAGUAAGUCUGAGAAAUGCUGUUGUUUUCUUUUUAAGAAAAGAGCACGUUUGGUUUGGUCGCUUGAAACAAAUCCGACAGAUGAGCCGGAAGACAGAUUUACAAGCUGAAACAAAAGAUGAACGUGUUAACAAAAGUAUGUCGAGCCAUUUACUUCACUGUGCCGUCGCAUUUUGCAGCCCUGUCAGUGUCUUCAGCUAUUUCUAAACGACUCCUCAUCUAAUCCCUCAUCUGGGUACAGCUUGACCUAAUUUGCCAUGAUCCUGCCAGCUAUUCCAGUUACGUAAGGAGGGUUUAUGACCUGUCACGGCCUGUCACGGCUGGUG